GUCCACGGCCACGCCACCCUGAACACGCCAGAUCCCGGCUGAUCUCGGAAGCUCAGCAGGGUCGGGCCUGGUUAGUACUUGGAUGGGAGACCACCUAGGAAGCCCAGGUGCUGUAGGCA
rfam:Pteropus alecto contig44339, whole genome shotgun sequence.